rnacentral:rRNA from 1 species
GACGAACGCUGGCGGCGUGCUUAACACAUGCCAGUCGAACGGAAAGGCCCUGCUUUUGUGGGGUGCUCGAGUGGCGAACGGGUGAGUAACACGUGAGUAACCUGCCCUUGACUUUGGGAUAACUUCAGGAAACUGGGGCUAACACCGGAUAGGAGCUCCUGCUGCAUGGUGGGGGUUGGAAAGUUUCGGCGGUUGGGGAUGGACUCGCGGCUUAUCAGCUUGUUGGUGGAGUAGUGGCUUACCAAGGCUUUGACGGGUAGCCGGCCUGAGAGGGUGACCGGCCACAUUGGGACUGCGAUACGGCCCAGACUCCUACGGGAGGCAGCAGUGGGGAAUAUUGCACAAUGGGCGGAAGCCUGAUGCAGCAACGCCGCGUGCGGGAUGACGGCCUUCGGGUUGUAAACCGCUUUCGCCUGUGACGAAGCGUGAGUGACGGUAAUGGGUAAAGAAGCACCGGCUAACUACGUG